rnacentral:tRNA from 1 species
CUCAGUUGGUAGAGCACCUGACUGUUAAUCAGGUUGUCGUCAGUUCGAGCCUGACAACCG